GACGAACGCUGGCGGCGUGCUUAACACAUGCAAGUCGAACGGAAAGGCCCUGCUUUUGUGGGGUGCUCGAGUGGCGAACGGGUGAGUAACACGUGAGUAACCUGCCCUUGACUUUGGGAUAACUUCAGGAAACUGGGGCUAAUACCGGAUAGGAGCUCCUGCUGCAUGGUGGGGGUUGGAAAGUUUCGGCGGUUGGGGAUGGACUGGCGGCUUAUCAGCUUGUUGGUGGGGUAGUGGCUUACCAAGGCUUUGACGGGUAGCCGGCCUGAGAGGGUGACCGGCAACAUUGGGACUGAGAUACGGCCCAGACUCCUACGGGAGGCAGCAGUGGGGAAUAUUGCACAAUGGGCGGAAGCCUGAUGCAGCAACGCCGCGUGCGGGAUGACGGCCUUCGGGUUGUAAACCGCUUUCGCCUGUGACGAAGCGUGAGUGACGGUAAUGGGUAAAGAAGCACCGGCUAACUACGUG
rnacentral:rRNA from 1 species